rnacentral:rRNA from 1 species
UACGUAGGUGACUAGCGUUGUCCGGAUUUACUGGGCGUAAAGAGCGCGCAGGCGGUCGUUCAAGUCGAGCGUGAAAGCCCCGGCUCAACUGGGGAGGGUCAUUCGAUACUGAUCGACUCGAAGGCAGGAGAGGGAAGCGGAAUUCCCGGUGUAGUGGUGAAAUGACGUAGAUAUCGGGAGGAACACCAGUGGCGAAGGCGGCUUCCUGGCCUGUUCUUGACGCUGAGGCGCGAAAGCUAGGGGAGCAAACGGGG